UUGGAGGGCAAGUCUGGUGCCAGCAGCCGCGGUAAUUCCAGCUCCAAUAGCGUAUAUUAAAGUUGUUGCAGUUAAAAAGCUCGUAGUUGAAUUUCGGGGUUCUACCGUUGGUCGGGCUUUGUCUGUACUGGCGUGUAGAAUUUCUACCUUCUGGGGAACCAUCAUGCUAUUAAUUUAGCGUGGUGGGAAACCAGGACCUUUACCUUGAAAAAAUUAGUGUGUUCAAAGCAGGCUUAUGUCUGAAUACAUUAGCGUGGAAUAAUAGAAUAGGACGGUGGUCCUGUUUUGUUGGUUUCUGAAUCACCGUAAUGAUUAAUAGGGAUAGUUGGGGGCAUUAGUAUUCAAUUGUCAGAGGUGAAAUUCUUGGAUUUAUUGAAGACUAACUUCUGCGAAAGCAUUUGCCAAGGAUGUUUUCAUUAAUCAAGAACGAAAGUUAGGGGAUCGAAGACGAUCAGAUACCGUCGUAGUCUUAACCAUAAACUAUGCCGACUAGGGAUCGGACGAUGUUAAUUUUUCUUGACUCGUUCGGCGCCUUACGGGAAAC
rnacentral:rRNA from 1 species